GACCCCAUCGUCUAGUCAGGUCCAGGACGGCGGAUUUUCAUUCCGCUAACACGGGUUCGAAUCCCGUUGGGGUCACCA
rnacentral:tRNA from 1 species